rnacentral:tRNA from 1 species
AACUCUAUUUUUAGGAAAGAUUGAAUUGCAAAUUUGGUUAGAAGUUAGGAACUUUAGAGUUU